rnacentral:rRNA from 1 species
GGGGCAUCGAGUUUCACUCCCAACCCCUGUGACAUACCAAUUGUUGCCUCGGCGGAUCAGCCCGCUCCCGGUAAAACGGGACGGCCCGCCAGAGGACCCCUAAACUCUGUUUCUAUAUGUAACUUCUGAGUAAAACCAUAAAUAAAUCAAAACUUUCAACAACGGAUCUCUUGGUUCUGGCAUCGAUGAAGAACGCAGCAAAAUGCGAUAAGUAAUGUGAAUUGCAGAAUUCAGUGAAUCAUCGAAUCUUUGAACGCACAUUGCGCCCGCCAGUAUUCUGGCGGGCAUGCCUGUUCGAGCGUCAUUUCAACCCUCAAGCCCAGCUUGGUGUUGGGACUCGCGAGUCAAAUCGCGUUCCCCAAAUUGAUUGGCGGUCACGUCGAGCUUCCAUAGCGUAGUAGUAAAACCCUCGUUACUGGUAAUCGUCGCGGCCACGCCGUUAAACCCCAACUUCUGAAUGUUGACCUCGGAUCAGGUAGGAAUACCCGCUGAACUUAAGCAUAUCAAUAAGCGGGAGGAAAAGCCGGGCGC